UGGGGAAUAUUGGACAAUGGGCGAAAGCCUGAUCCAGCGAUGCCGCGUGUGUGAAGAAGGCCUGCGGGUUGUAAAGCACUUUCAGUGGGGAGAAUGAACCUAUUCCUAAUAUGUAUAGGGAAAGAUGUUACCCACAGAAGAAGCACCGGCUAACUCUGUGCCAGCAGCCGCGGUAAUACAGAGGGUGCGAGCGUUAAUCGGAAUUACUGGGCGUAAAGCGUGCGUAGGUGGUUGCAUAAGUUAGGUGUGAAAUUCCUGGGCUUAACCUGGGAACUGCGCCUAAUACUGUACAGCUAGAGUAUUGUAGAGGAAAGUGGAAUUUCCGGUGUAGCGGUGAAAUGCGUAGAUAUCGGAAGGAACAUCAGUGGCGAAGGCGACUUUCUGGACAAAUACUGACACUGAGGCACGAAAGCAUGGGGAGCAAACAGG
rnacentral:rRNA from 1 species